rnacentral:piRNA from 1 species
UGGCAGGGAAGAUGGACCGUGUUUAA